CUUCAUAUCCAGCUGAACUAAGCUUUCUAAGAGAAGGGGGAAUAAGAUCCUUUUUAGAUAUGCAAAUGCUGACAGAGUUCAUUACCAGCAGACCUGCCUUACAGGAAAUCUUGAAAGGAACACUAAAUGUAGAAAGUAAAGACCACAACCAGAGGCUGGCUGCCAGUGGAAGACUUGCCAGAUCAAGGGCAUGUGAGCUGUUCCUGGCCCUGAACAGCUCCUGGGGAAGGGUUGAGUUAAAUAGAAGUGAAGUGACCCACUCUCACCAUGGACCUCUGCGAUCCCAGCUGUGGGAGACUCCAUGACACCCAUGGACAUCUGAACUGGAAAAGAGAACUGCUCAGAGAGUUGGCAGACACAGGACUUCAGCUUGCAUGCAGCCCAGAAUAUUUGGCACAUAAAUGGCUGCAGUGGAGCAAGACCUGGAGUGCGAACCCUCCAACACUCUUCAUACUCUUCUAGGUGGCUUUAGACUUUGUUAGCUGUGGGAACUGGACACAGCAUAAUUGUCUUGCCCAUGGAACAGUGCAAUUCUGACCCAAGCACCACCAUAUCUAUUGGAUAAUCCCAGAGAUCCUACCUGGCAACAUUCACUUGCAGUACAGCCUCAGCUGGCCAGCCAAAGUGCUUUCCAGUGGCCAAUUCCAUAGCUCUUUCACCAACAGACCCCACUUACAGGUUGAAGCACAUUAGCAGACAGACUCCCAACAGCAGCACCUGCCCACAGCCUUCCCCUACCUCCAUGCACUUGCUUGCAACCUCUGCUUCUGCCUUAGUGGGGUGCACAUGCAUGUGGAUACAUUUCUGUCCCACUGGCACACACUCAAAGUGGUACCUGCUGCUGCAACACUGGA
rnacentral:lncRNA from 10 species